GUUAAUAAUUCAUUAAUUACAAGCUCAGAAAACACAGUAAGCAGGCUUCGUGAUACAGGGAGAACUUGAGCAAGCAGACUUUCUAGGUUUCUAAAACCUGCACAGGUUAGGCUUAACCUUUUCUUUUGUUUGUGCCAGAACAACAUCAUCGCAGGUAACUGAUGUUUUUUUCUUACCUGAAGUUCAUGACAUAACUGUACAUAUGUUAUGUUUGAGGCUCUCUAUAUAUGGGUACCGUGCUUUCACUAUUGUUUUUUUUAAGUCAUCAUUCUUUGACACAAAUUUAAGAGCUUCCAAUUGCUGCAGGAGCAUUGAUGAAUUUGGAUCAAAUGCUUCCAACAGAGCUUAGAAGAACCUGAGCUCCCAAAGAAAUCAACAAAACCGGAAAUUCUCACGAUAGGUCCGGAUUUGAGUUUCAAAUUCAAAUGUAGAACUGUAAUCAAUCCAGAGCAAAUUACUUGGCAAACUCAUGAGAUUAUGCAUGAGUUGGACCUUCCUACAAAGAUAAGAUUGUGAGCAUUUUACAUACAAAUGUGCUUGCUGCUGGAUAAGAAUUCAGCAUAACAAAAAAUUCC
rnacentral:lncRNA from 1 species